UUAUAUUUGAAGCAAUUUCAAGUAAAUUUAAUCAAAAUAUUUUUAAAUUAUGGCUAAUAGUCGCUUGGAGAACAUUUAUACAAGAGCGAAAGCUUUAAUUGAUUCAGGAAUUCGUAAUUAAGUUGAUAGACUUCUUUAAUUCGAUGUUUACGAGGCUUUCCCUCCUAAAGAAGAGCCUUGGUUUGAUAAAAAAGUUCCUAAAUGCGAGUUAAAAAAGAUAUUUUAUCAGGAAGACGAAAUUAGGAGCUAAUAAUCGCUUGGAAAAGAUUUAUACAAGGUAAAUAACACUCCAAAUUUAUUCUUUUAUUAUAAACACUCAUUAAUUGUGGAGCGAAAGUUUUAAUUGAUUCAGGAGCUCGUAAUUAGGUUGAUAAACUUCUUUAGUUCGAUGUUUACGAGGCUUUCCCUCCUAAAAAAGAGCCUUGGUUUGAUAAAAAAGUUCCUAAAUGCGAGUUAAACAAGAUAUUUUAUCAGGAAGACGAAAUUAGGAGAUUAGGUUAUUUACGAUUUAAAAACAUUACAAGUUAAUAUGCUGCAUUAAUUGUGAUUAAUAACUCAAAAUAACGACGAGAACAUCCUUUUUUUAAUCUAUCUGAUCGCCAUCUAUUAAAUUAUUUUUGAAUUACAUCGAU